rnacentral:misc_RNA from 1 species
GCCUCAACAUCCGAAAUGCGAUUUUUCACGCAUUGUAGAUCCAUGAUCUUUAGCUCUCUCAAGUUGUUUAACCUGUUUAAUUCAUUCAAGCCACCCAUUUGCUUACAGACUAAACUGUCUUUCGCCACCACAAAGCGCUUCAACUUCUCAAGGGAAGUCAAUUGCCCAACCCCAAGAGGCAUAUGGGUCAAAUCUAAACACUCAGAACAAUCCAGAUGCUUCAGGUUCACCAUCUUGUGAAUAUGUGUAGGUAGUUCCUUAAGCUUUGAACAGUGGGAGAGGUUGAGAAAUUCCAAAUUAUGCAGGUUGGUGAUAGAAUCAGGAAGUAUCUUGAGUUUAG